ACAGUGGACGCGAGCAUCUGUGGCCAAGUUUUUAAGGGCGCACGGUGGAUGCCUUGGCACCAGGAACCGAUGAAGGACGUGGGAGGCCGCGAUAGGCCCCGGGGAGCUGUCAACCGAGCUUUGAUCCGGGGGUGUCCGAAUGGGGAAACCCGGCAGUCGUCAUGGGCUGUCACCCGUACCUGAACUCAUAGGGUAUGUGGAGGGAACGCGGGGAAGUGAAACAUCUCAGUACCCGCAGGAAGAGAAAACAACCGUGAUUCCGGGAGUAGUGGUGAGCGAAACCGGAUGAGGCCAAACCAGUCACGUGUGAUACCCGGCAGGGGUUGCGUGGUUGGGGUUGUGGGAGUUCUCUUGAUCGGUCUGCCGGCCGGUCGGUGAGUCAGAAACCGUUGAUGUAGGCGAAGGACAUGCGAAAGGUCCGGCGUAGAGGGUAAGACCCCCGUAGCUGAAACAUUAGCGGCUCGCUUGAGAACCACCCAAGUAGCACGGGGCCCGUGAAAUCCCGUGUGAAUCUGGCGGGACCACCCGUUAAGCCUAAAUAUUCCCUGGUGACCGAUAGCGGAUAGUACCGUGAGGGAAUGGUGAAAAGUACCGCGGGAGCGGAGUGAAAUAGUACCUGAAACCGUGUGCCUACAAGCCGUGGGAGCGUCGCGCAGAGAACUUGUUCUUUGCGUCGUGACUGCGUGCCUUUUGAAGAAUGAGCCUGCGAGUUUGCGGUAUGUUGCGAGGUUAACCCGUGUGGGGAAGCCGUAGCGAAAGCGAGUCCGAAGAGGGCGAUAUAGUAGCGUGCCCAAGACCCGAAGCGGAGUGAUCUAGCCAUGGGCAGGUUGAAGCGGAGGUAAGACUUCGUGGAGGACCGAACCCACCAGGGUUGAAAACCUGGGGGAUGACCUGUGGUUAGGGGUGAAAGGCCAAUCAAACUCCGUGAUAGCUGGUUCUCCCCGAAAUGCAUUUAGGUGCAGCGUCGUGUGUUUCUUGCCGGAGGUAGAGCACUGGAUAGGCGAUGGGCCCUACCGGGUUACUGACCUUAGCCAAACUCCGAAUGCCGGUAAGUGAGAGCGCGGCAGUGAGACUGUGGGGGAUAAGCUCCAUGGUCGAGAGGGAAACAGCCCAGAGCAUCGACUAAGGCCCCUAAGCGUGUGCUAAGUGGGAAAGGAUGUGGAGUCGCAGAGACAACCAGGAGGUUGGCUUAGAAGCAGCCAUCCUUGAAAGAGUGCGUAAUAGCUCACUGGUCAAGUGAUUCCGCGCCGACAAUGUAGCGGGGCUCAAGCACACCGCCGAAGUCAUGUCAUU
rnacentral:rRNA from 1 species